ensembl:rRNA 5S_rRNA 5S ribosomal RNA
GUCUACAGCCAUGCCACUUGAACGAUCCAGUCCUCAUCUGAUCUCAGAAGCUAAGCAGGGUCGGGCCUAGUUAGUACUUGGAUGGGAGACCACCUACGAAUACCAGGUACUAUAGGUG